CUCUUGAGCUGCUUGCUUGGCCCACUCUCACUCUGUGGAGUGUACAUUUGUUUCCAUAAAUCUGUGCUUUUUUUUUCAUUGUUUUGUUUGUGCAUUUCAUCCAAUUGUUUGUUCAAAAUGCCAAGAAUCUGGACACCCUCCACCAGUAACAGGUCUUUAGAAAAUAACUCUUUCAACCAAUUGCCAAUGAGAAAAUCUCUGAAUCAGCCUAUGACCUGCAAGCCCCUGCUUCCAGUUGUCCCACCUUUCUGGACCAAACUAAUGUACAUCUUUCAUGUAUUGAUUGAUGUCUUAUGUCUCCCUGAAAUGUAUAAAACCAAGUUGUAGCCCAACGACCUUGGGCACAUGUUCUCAGGUUCUCCUGAGGGCUGUGUCGUGGACCAUCAGUCACUCAAAUUUUGCUCAAAAUAAAUAUCUUCAAAUAUU
rnacentral:lncRNA from 1 species